rnacentral:rRNA from 1 species
UACGUAGGGUGCGAGCGUUUGUCCGGAAUUAUUGGGCGUAAAAGAGCUCGUAGGCGGUGUGUCGCGUCGGCCGUGAAAACCUGGGGCUUAACUCUGGGCGUGCGGUCGAUACGGGCAUCACUGGAGUUCGGCAGGGGAGACUGGAAUUCCUGGUGUAGCGGUGAAAUUCGUAGAUAUCGAGAGGAACACCGGCGGCGAAGGCGGCCAACUGGACGACUACUGACGCUGAGACACGAAAGCGUGGGGAGCAAACAGG